UACGUAGGGCGCAAGCGUUAUCCGGAAUUAUUGGGCGUAAAGGGCUCGUAGGCGGCCAACUAAGUCAUACGUGAAAUCCCUCAGCUUAACUGGGGAACUGCGUGUGAUACUGGAUGGCUUGGAUGUGGGAGAGGGAUGCGGAAUUCCAGGUGUAGCGGUGAAAUGCGUAGAUAUCUGGAGGAACACCGGUGGCGAAGGCGGCAUCCUGGACCAUUAUUGACGCUGAGGAGCGAAAGCCAGGGGAGCAAAGCGGGG
rnacentral:rRNA from 1 species